UAUUAAAGUUGAAGAGUAUAUAUUAAAGUUGAAGGACAAAUAUCCUAAUUUGCUAUUAUUAUAGAGUGUUCACAAAUAAUAAAGACAAAAAAAAAAAAAAAAAAAGAAAAAAAAAGAAAAAAAUCAAUAAUCUCCUUUGUUUGCACUUCAAAUUAUGAGUGCAUAUAAGGUCAAAUUCACCUUUACCUUCAUUUCUAUUGACAAAUGACAAUUGAUCGUAUAACUCGUCCUUUACUAGGCUGAAACAGAUUUUAGAAAGAACCAAAAAAAAAAAACAAAAGAGGAAAGAUGACUCGGGGGAAGCAGAAGAUCGAUGCUCAGAAGCGAAAUGCGGAGAAGUAUCAGAAGCAAAAGGGCUCUCAAAUCGAGGCCAGAGCCGUUGCUCUCAAAGCCAACUGCCCUAUUUGCAAGGUGCAACUAGCAAACGCGAAACAACUUGGGGAUCAUUAUGCCUCCAAACACCCAAAGGAAAAGCCUCCUACUGAAUCAGAGUGAUUUGUUGAAAAGAAGCAAGGCAGGAAGAAGAAGAUGAAGAAAAAAGGCUCAGAAUGUGUGUUUCGAGCUUCUAUGUGUACUUGUGAAAGUUAUGAAAAUCAAAAUAUCAAGCUUCUGUGUAUUUGUUAAAAUUGUAUGAACCUAAUGAAAUUAUUCCCCACCAGGCCUUAUGGUCCGUGGAGAUUGUACAACUAUGAUGGAUGAUUGAUAAAACAUUUCUAUCACAUCUGGAGUUCAAUCAAUGCAUGUAAAGUGGUUGUUUUGGCA